AAAAAAAAAAAAAAAGAAGAAAAGAAAAGAAAAGAAAAAGGAUUAAUUGUAAGCCUCUGUAAUUGCUUGGUAACUGUUUGGCCGUUUUCUUAUCUUCUGUUUGACCACAGUUAUGCACAGACACUCAUAACCCGAACUCCAAAUCAUUUGAUCAUGUUUUCAGCUUCUUCUUCCUUUUUGAGGAAGAAUGGGGGCAUCUUAUCAUUAAUUUUGUCAAAGGAAUCUCGAAUUGACAUGUGUGCACAAUUUGGCAGACCUCUUACCUUUUCACCUUACAUAUUUAGGAUAAUAGUUUAUCACUCUCUCAUAUUUUUGCAAUAUAGGAGCUUUAAUGGUGUUGAUGCUGAAAUUCAUCUCAUGUGCAAUUAAUUGCAAUGAUGGGAUAUUGAAAGAAGAGGGCUUGCGUGAAGUAGAGAAGAAAAAUCGGUCGCUUCUGGUACCUUCUCUGAUUGAGUACUUUGGUUAUUGCCUCUGCUGUGGAAGUCAUUUUGUUGGACCACUUUAUGAAAUGAAGGAUUAUCUUGACUGGACAGAGCAGAAGGGGAUUUGGAGCUACGCGGGGGAAGGUUCACCUCCAUCACCUUAUGGUGCAGUGAUUAAAGCUCUAAUUCAAGCUGCUGUAUGCAUGGGAUUGUAUUUGUACCUGGCACCACAUUUUCCACUGUCCAGGUUUAUUGAUCCUGUCUAUCAGGAAUGGGGGUUCUGGAAACGGCUCAGUUACCAGUACAUGGCUGGAUUUACAGCAUGAUGGAAGUACAUGGCGCGACAUCCGAUUCCGGAAGAGAUGCUAUUUCUCAGUGUCUUCACUCCGUUUCUGCUGCCGCCGUCGAUCAAUCGGUUCGGGAACUUUGCCCUUCGUCAAAGAGGGUUACCUUGAGGUUCCCCGUGGUUUACUCGAGCUUCAAUCGGCUCUCAAUGGCCGCGACUCGUGUUUCGUCAACGUUUUCGUCAAAGGGUUAGGGUUUAUGGGCAAGGCUUGCUGAAUUUAUCUGGCACAAGGUUGGGAUGGCUGCGAACUUGAGGGACAUUGUCUUAAGUGGUCAUAGUGGUGAAAAGGUGAAAGGAUCAUAAGUUUUAAUGCAUGAUGGUAUACCUGUUGGAUAUGCUUCAUACACCACAGAAAGAGUGAGUAUCAUUAGACUUUUCGAGUGUUGGUUGUCUUUUAGCUGAGUAAAGCAUUAACUCGGGGUUAAUUCAUUAAAUGGUUAUCCACUUUAUUCGGACAUUUGAUUGUUCACCUAACUAAACAUGCCUGCCUGAGCACACUUGCAUUUCUCCUUUCCCCUCAGAUUUCAUCAGUUUGUUUCUUAUGUCCUUUUUUCAUUUGGAUAUCUUUGUGUUUAUUGUUAAUUUCAGAUACUAUGGAAACACCAACUGCCUAUAAUUCUUCCAAUUUGAAAUUCGAUCUUUGAUUUUUCUAAGUUAAUUAUGUGUCAGCUCAUGAUAAUGAAACUUAGUAGUUUAUCAGCCUAUUACAAGUAGGACAUCAGUCCUAGUAGGACUAGAAACAUCAAAACAUAAUUGAAAACUGACUAACUAAUCAGUCCUAGCUGAACUAGGACUCCCAUAGUUAGACUAGGAAAACACUAAGGUAGGAGACUGCAUUUCUCUUCUUCUCUACCCCUUACCCCUUUCUCGAAUCUCUCUGUUCUCUUGAUCUCUCUCUCGUACGAUCUAGCAUGACUUAUCUUGAUUUUCUCUCCCACUAAAAAUUGUCUGAACGACUGAUUUUCUACCUCUCACACAACCUAACGAAAAUUCUCCUUAUUUUCUGUCCCACUAAUUACAAUCCCAAGGCCCGAUUUUCUCGCCUAGAUCUCUCUCGCACGACUUAGCGAAAAUUCUCCCAAUUUUUCUCCCACCAAUAACUAUCCCAGCCUCUGAGUUUUUCUCUCCUUCUCUACCCCCAACUCCUUUCUCGAAUCUGACUCUCUUCUCUCGAUCUCCCUCGCAUGACUUAGUAUGACUUAUCCCGAUUUUCUCUCCUUCUCUCGCACAACUUAGAAAAAAUUCUCCUAAUUUUCUCACCACUAAUAACUAUCCCAACACCCAAUUUUAUCUUUCCCUCGAUAUCUCUUUCACGAUCUAGCAAAAAAUCUCUUGAUUUUCUCUCCCACUAAUAACGAUCACAGGCCUCGAUUUCCCUUUCCUCUACCCGCAACCCUUUCUUGAAUCUCUCUCAGUUCUCUCGAUCUGUCUCGUAUGACCUAGCCUGACUUCUACCCAUUUUCUCUCCAACUAAUAACUAUCCUAGCCUCCGAUUUUCUUUCCCUCUUGCAGGACCUAGCAAAAGUUCUACCGAUUUUCUAUCCCACUAAUAACUACCCUAGCACCCAGUUUUCUCACCCUUAAUCACUCUCGCACAACUUAGAAAUAACUCUCCCAUUUUAUCUCCCCGUAAUAAAUAUUCUAGCCCCCAAUUUUCUCACCUUCACCCCCAACCCCUUUCUCGAAUCUCUCUCCUCUCGAUCUCUGGCACGACUUCUCCCGAUUUUCUCUCACUAUUAACUAUCCUAACCCCCGAUUUUGUCCCCUUCUUGUAUGACCUAUAAAGAAUUCUCAAUAUUUUCUCUUCUUUGAUCUCUCUCGCACGACCUAGCAAAAAUUCUCUCGAAUUUCGCUCCCUAAUAACUAUCCCAACCUUGAUUUUCUCUCUCCUUCUUUACCCCCAACCCUUUCUCAAAUCUCUCCUCUUAAUUUCUCACAUGACCAAGAAUGACUUUCACCAUUUUCUCUCCCACUAAAAUUGUCUCAACCCCUGAUUUUGUCCCUCUCAUGCAACCUAACAAAAAUUCUCUUUAUUUUCUCUCCCACUAAUAACUAUCCCAGGACCCGAUUAUUCUCCCCAGAUCUCUCUCGCACGACCUAGCAAAAAUCCUCCCGAUUUUCUCUCCCACUAAUAACUAUUCUAGUCCCCGAUUUUUUCUCUCCUCUACCCAUAACCCCUUUUCUCAAAUUUGUCGCUCUUCUCUUGAUCUUUUUCGCACGACCUAAAAUUUUUUUCCCUAUUUUCUCUCCACUAAUAACUAGCCCAGCACCUAAUUUUUCCUCUCCCUUGAUCUCCCUUUCAUGAUCUGGCAAAAAAUCUCUCGAUUUUCUCUCCAACUAAUAACUAUCCUAGCCCCCGAUUUCUCUUUCCUCUACCCCGGACCCUUUCUCGAAUCUUUCUCUGUUCUCUCGAUCUCUCUCGUAUGACCAAGCAUAACUUUCCCUAUUUUUUUUCCAGCUAAUAACUAUCCUAGCCCCCGAUUUUCUCUCCCUCUCGCACGACUUAACAAAAGUUCUCCCGAUUUUCUCUCCUACUUAUAACUAUCUCAGCACCCGAUUUUAUCACCCUUGACCACUCUCGCACGACUUAGAAAAAAUUCUCCCAUUUUCUCGCCCUAUAAUGACUAUACUCGCUCUCGAUUUUCUCUCCUUCUUUACCCCCAACCUCUUUCUCGAAUCUCUCUCCUUUCAAUCUCUCUCGCAUGACCUAGUAUGGCCUCUCCUGAUUUUCUCUCUCACUAAUAACUAUCAUAGCACUUGAUUUUCUCCCCCUCUCACAUUACCUAUAAAAAAUUCUUCGUAUUUUCUCUCUUUUGAUCUCUCUUGCAUGACGUAACAAAAAUUCUCCCGAUUUUCUCUCCCACUAAUAACUGCCCGAACCCUUGAUUUUCUUCCUUGUACACGACCUAAGAAAAAUUUUCUCAAUAUUUUCUCCCACUAACAUCUAUCCUAAAAACCUAUUUUCUCUCCCUCAAUCUCUCUUGCAUGACUUAACAAAAAUUCUCAAUAUUUUUCUUCCCACUAGUAACUAUUCCAGCCAUCGAUUUCCUCUCCUUUAGCCCCAAGCCCUUUCUCGAAUCUCACUCACUUCUCUCGAUGACCUAGCAUGACUUAUCCUGAUUUACUCUCACAUUAAUAACUAUCCCAACCCCUGAUUUUCUCUCCCUGUCUUGCAUGACUUAAUAAAGUUCACCCCGAUUUUCUCUUGCAUGAAUUAUAAAAAAUUCUCCUGAUUUUCACCCGGACUAAUAGUUAUCCCAGCUUAGAUUUAUCUCUCCACUACACCGAACGCUUUCUCGAAUCUCUCUAUUCUCUCAAUCUCUCUCGCAUGACUUCUCAUUUUCUCUCAAACUAAUAACUAUACAAGUCCCUGAUUUUCUCUCCCUAUUGCACGACCUAAAAAAAACUCUCCCGAUUUUCUCUCCCUCAAUCUCUCACAGUCUAAAAAAAGUUCUUCCAUUUUCCCUCCCAUUAUUAAUUAUCUUAGCUACCGAUUUUAUCUCCUUCAUUACCACCGACCUUUUUCUCGAAUCUCUCUCGCUCGAACAAGCAUGACUUCUCAUGAUUUUCUCUCCCACUAGUCACUAUCCUAGCCACCAAUUUUCUCCCUCUCGCAUGACCUAGCAAAGAUUCUCCCGAUUUUCUCUCCAUUGAUUUCUCUCGCAUGACCUAGAAAAAAUUCUCCCGAGACAAGUAACCAUCCCACCCCCGAAUUUUCUCUCCUUUACCCCUAACCCCUUUCUCGAUUAUCGUUCUCUUCUCUCGAUCUCUCUCGCACGACCCAGCAAGACUUCUCUCGAUUUUCUCUCCCACAAAUAAACUUCCCUACCUCGGAUUUACUCUCCUUCUAGGACGACCUAGCAAAAAUAUCCUAAUUUCUUUCCCACUUAUAACUAACUGAGCCCCUGAAUUUCUCUUACCUUCUUUAGUCCCGACCCUUUACUCGAAUCUGUUUCUCCUCUCAAUCUCUCGCCCGACCUAGCAUUAUUUCUCUCAAUUCUCUCCCAUUAAUAACUAUCCCAACCCCUUAUUUUCUCUCACUAUCUCGCACAACCUAGAAAAAUUCUCCCGAUUCGCUUUCCCUUGAUCUCUCUUGCACGACCUAGCAAAAAAACUCCUGAUUUUCUCUCAUAUUAAUAAUUAUCCCAACUCCUGAUAUGUCCUUUACCCCCAUCCCUCUCUCGAAUCUCUCUUUGUUCUCUCGAUCCCUCUCGCGUGACCUAACAUUACUUCUCCCUAUUUCCUCUCCAAGUAAUAACUAUAUCAGCCGCCGAUUUUCUCUCCCUUUCGGACGACUUAGCAAAAAUUCUCCCGAUUUUCUUUCCCACUAAUAACUAUCCUAGCACCCGAUUUUCUCACCCUCGAUCUCUCUCGCACGACGUAGAAAAAAUUCUCCCACAUUCUCUCCCAAAGAUAACUAUCCCAGCCCUUAAUUUCUUUCCUUCUUUGUCCUCGACCCCUUUGUCGAAUCUCUCUCUUCUCUUGAUCACUCUCGCACAACCUAACAUUAAUUCUCCCGAUUUUUUCUCCCACUAAUAAAUAUCCUAGCCUCGGAUUUUCUCUCCCUCUUGCUUGACCGAUAAAAAAUUCUUUGUAUUUUCUCUCCCUCGAUCUCUCUCGCACGACCUAGCAAAUAUUCUCUUGAUUUUCACUCCCACUGAUUACUAUUUAGCCCUUGAUUUUCUUUCUCCCUCUCUAGCCCCAACCCUUUCUCGAAGUUCACUCACUUCUCUCAAUAUUGUGCAUGACCUAGCAUGACUUGUCACGAUUUACUUUGACAUUGAUAACUAUCGCAACCCCUGAUUUUCUCUUCCUCUCUUGCAUGAAUUGGUAAAAUUCUCCCAAUUUUCUCUCCAAGUAAUAACUAUCCUAGCACACAAUUUUCUCUCGCCCUUGAUCUCUUUCGCAUGUCUUAGCAAAUAUUCUCCUGAUUUUUUUCCCCCACUAAUAGUUAUCGCAGCCCCGAUUUCUCUCUCCUCUACCCCUAACCCUUUCUUGAAUCUCUCUAUGUUCUCUCAAUCUCUCUUGCAUGACUUCUCAUUUUCUCUCCAACUAAUAUCUAUACAAGCACCCGUUUUUCUCUCACAAUCGCAUAGCUUAGCAAAAAUUCUUCCGAUUUUCUGUCCCUUUAUCUCUCACGAUCUAAAUUUUUUUUCCCAUUUUCCCUCCCACUAAUAAUUAUUCCAUCUACUGAUUUUCUUUCCUUCAUUACCACCGACCCUUUUCUCUAAUCUCUCUCGCUUGACCUAGCAUGACUUUUCCCGAUUUUCUCUCCCACUAAUAACUAUCCUAGACCCCAAUUUUUUCACUCUCGCAUGACCUAGCAAAAAUUCUCCCUAUUUUCUCUCCCACUAAUAACUAUCCGAACCCCCAAUUCUCCCGAUUCUCUCAAUCUCUCUUGUAUGACUUCUCAUUUUGUCUCAAACUAAUACCUAUACAAGCCCCCCGAUUUCCUCUCACAAUUGCACAACUUAGCAAAAAUUCUCUUGGUUUUCUGUCCCUUAAUCUCUCACGAUCUAAAAGAAUUCUCCCAUUUUCCCUCCCAUUAAUAAUUAUCCCAUUUGCUGAUUUUCUCUCCUUCAUUACCACCGACCCUUUUUUCGAGUAUGUCUUGCCCGACCUAGCAUUACUUCUCUCAAUUUUCUCUUCCCUUAUUAUCCCAACCUCCGAUUUUCUCUCCCUCUCUCUCACAAUCUAGACAAAUUCUCCCGUUUUGGUUUGCCUCGAUCUCUGUCGCACGACCUAACAAAAAAAUCCCGGUUUUCUCUCCCAUUAAUAACUAUCCCAGCUCCUGUUUUAUCAUUUUCCCCCAACCCUUUCUCGAAUCUCUCUCUGUUCUUGAUCCCUCUUGCAUUACCUAGCAUUACUUCUCUCCAUUUCCUCUCCAAGUAAUAACUAUCCUAGCCAUCGAUUGUCUCUCCCUUUCGAAUGACCAAGCAAUAAUUCUCCCGAUUUUCUGUCCCACUAAUAACUAUCCCAGCACCCGAUUUUCUCACCCUUUAUCUCUCUUGCACGACCUCGAAAAAAUUCUCCCACAUUCUCUUCCAAUAAUAACUAUCCAAGCCCAUGAUUUUCUUUCCUUCUUUAUCCCCGAACUCUGUUUCGAAUCUCUCUCUUCUCUUGAUCUUUCUCGCACGACCAAGCAUGAAUUCUCUUGAUUUUCUCUCUCAUUAAUAACUAUCCUAGCCCCUGAUUUUCGUUCCCUGUUGCUUGAUCGAUAGAAAAUUCUUCGUAUUUUCUCUCUCCCUCGAUCUCUCUCGCACGACCUAGCAAAUAUUCUCCUAAUUUUCUCUCCAACUAAUAACUAUUCAGCCCCCGAUUUUCUUAUAUCCUUCUCCACCCUUAAUUCUUUCUCGAAUCUCUCUCUCCUCCUGAUCUCUCUCGUACGACCUAGUUUGACUUCCCGAUUUUUUCUCCCAGUAAUAAUUUGCCCGAACCCUUGAUUUUCUCCUUCUCACAUGACCUAAGAAAAAUUCUUUCAAUUUUCUCUCCCAGUAAUAUCUUUCCCAAGAAUUGAUUUUCUCUCUCGUUCGAUCUCUCUCGUAAGUCUCUGCAAAAAUUCUCCCAAUUUUCUCUUCUCUACCCCUAACCAUUUUCUUGAAUCUCACACUUCUCUCGAUCUCUCGCACGACCUAGCAUGACUUGUCCCAAUUUUCUAUCCCAGAUUCCCAGUAAUAACUAUCCCAACCCCCAUUUUUCAAUCCCUCUCUCACAUGACUUAUUAAAAUUCUCUUUAUUUUCUCUGCCACUAAUAACUAUCCUAGGACCUGAUUUUCUCUUUCCCUCAAUCUGUCUCGCAGGACCUAGCAAAAAUUCUCCUGAUUUUCUCUCCCACCAAUAGCUAUCCCAGCCUCGAUUUCUCUCUCCUCUACUCCAACCCUUUCUCAAAUCUCUCUUUGUUCUCUCGAUCUCUCUCCUACCAAUGUUUAUUGUGAUUAUUACAUCUGUUGUGCCCACGUUGUAUUUGUGUCAAGAUGUCUUGCACCUUAAUUUCUUUGCAACAACAGAAAACUGAUGCAACAUUGUUGAAGCGGAAAUUUAUUCCUUUAGGUUCCUUGUCCCUAUUAAUGGAAAUCGUAUUCAUAUUUAUUUUCUGUAAUGUUUUUUUCGGUAAUAAUUGAUGAAGAUGAAUUUAGGGCCAGAAGUAAGAAACUUGCUGCACUUGCUGAUCCAGAAGUUGAGAUCACCUUUCAUGGAUCUAGAACUCGAUAAGCCAAGUAAAACAAGCUGGAAACUCAACAGUUGAUGAUGGAAUAGGCAAGGAAAUAAAAGAAUGAUGAGGCUUGAAGGAGUUGCAACUAUGAGAAGCCCCAUUGUGUAGUUUAGAUGUUUUACCUUCAAAUUUUCCCAAACAAGUGAAGCAUCAUCAGUCUCUGUUUUGUUGAAGGUUCCUUUACUCUAGUUUACAAUAAUUUUUUCUCUAAUCAUAUUUUAAAAUACAUGUUCACUCAAUAAAUAGUUGAUGAAGCCAUUUGAUGGUUUUUUCCUUAACUAAAA